UACGAAGGGGGCUAGCGUUGCUCGGAAUCACUGGGCGUAAAGCGCACGUAGGCGGAUCUUUAAGUCAGGGGUGAAAUCCUGGAGCUCAACUCCAGAACUGCCUUUGAUACUGAGGAGCUCGAGUCCGGGAGAGGUGAGUGGAACUGCGAGUGUAGAGGUGAAAUUCGUAGAUAUUCGCAAGAACACCAGUGGCGAAGGCGGCUCACUGGCCCGGUACUGACGCUGAGGUGCGAAAGCGUGGGGAGCAAACAGG
rnacentral:rRNA from 1 species